UUGGUUUGUUACUGGUGGUCGGCUCGAUUGCUUGUGCACAACUUCCUCCUAACAUGCCUACUCGGACGUAGUUAAGGCAUUGAUUGCCUGAACUAUCUGUCGGUUUCUUGUGUUGCCUACCUAAUUUACGGUAUUGGUGUUGCCAUAUCUAUGUUUUGUUCGUCUUUUGUCAUGAACAUGAAGUUAGAUGAACUCUAAACCGGUCUCUUUGAGCCACAUCAUUAAUGUGUGUUGAUGUAGUGGUGCAUGGAGCCUUGGUUGGUCUCUAUGAUGUAGUGCUAAAAUUGGGCAUGGGUCUAUGGGAUCCUUGUUAUGUCCUUGUUAAGUGUUUACGCUCUCAAAAAUGACUGCUUGACACGUGUUGGCUCAUAAAUGCGUGUUGGGCUUUGUCUAAGAGGAUCGUUACCUGGU
rnacentral:misc_RNA from 1 species